UACGUAGGGUGCGAGCGUUAAUCGGAAUUACUGGGCGUAAAGCGUGCGCAGGCGGUUUUGUAAGCCAGAUGUGAAAGCCCCGGGCUUAACCUGGGAAUGGCAUUUGGGACUGCAAGGCUGGAGUGUGGCAGAGGAGACUGGAAUUCCUGGUGUAGCAGUGAAAUGCGUAGAUAUCAGGAGGAACACCGAUGGCGAAGGCAGGUCUCUGGGCUGACACUGACGCUGAGGAGCGAAAGCGUGGGGAGCGAACAGG
rnacentral:rRNA from 1 species